rnacentral:rRNA from 1 species
CGAGCGGACAGAAGGGAGCUUGCUCCCGGAUGUUAGCGGCGGACGGGUGAGUAACACGUGGGUAACCUGCCUGUAAGACUGGGAUAACUCCGGGAAACCGGAGCUAAUACCGGAUAGUUCCUUGAACCGCAUGGUUCAAGGAUGAAAGACGGUUUCGGCUGUCACUUACAGAUGGACCCGCGGCGCAUUAGCUAGUUGGUGGGGUAAUGGCUCACCAAGGCGACGAUGCGUAGCCGACCUGAGAGGGUGAUCGGCCACACUGGGACUGAGACACGGCCCAGACUCCUACGGGAGGCAGCAGUAGGGAAUCUUCCGCAAUGGACGAAAGUCUGACGGAGCAACGCCGCGUGAGUGAUGAAGGUUUUCGGAUCGUAAAGCUCUGUUGUUAGGGAAGAACAAGUGCGAGAGUAACUGCUCGCACCUUGACGGUACCUAACCAGAAAGCCACG